UACGUAGGGCGCGAGCGUUGUCCGGAAUUAUUGGGCGUAAAGAGCUCGUAGGCGGCCUGUCGCGUCGGUUGUGAAAGCCCGGGGCUCAACCCCGGGUCUGCAGUCGAUACGGGCAGGCUAGAGUUCGGUAGGGGAGAUCGGAAUUCCUGGUGUAGCGGUGAAAUGCGCAGAUAUCAGGAGGAACACCGGUGGCGAAGGCGGAUCUCUGGGCCUUACCUGACACUGAGGAGCGAAAGCGUGGGGAGCGAACAGG
rnacentral:rRNA from 1 species